ACCCGAGCUCGGCCAACCUGGGCGUGGCCGGCGGCGCCGAGGUGUUCGGUGACCAGCCGCCGAUGGAGUCGCUGGCUGGCUACGACAGCCUGAUGCAGGUGAUCGGCUACCCGUGCGUCAGUCACCGGCUGCAGGCCUGGGACUUCUCGGCGCAGCAGAUCCCCGACAUGACCGACGAGCGGCGGAACCUGGUCUGCAGCCGGUGCAAGGUG